UACGUAGGGUCCGAGCGUUGUCCGGAAUUACUGGGCGUAAAGAGCUCGUAGGUGGUUUGUCGCGUUGUUCGUGAAAACUCACAGCUCAACUGUGGGCGUGCGGGCGAUACGGGCAGACUUGAGUACUGCAGGGGAGACUGGAAUUCCUGGUGUAGCGGUGGAAUGCGCAGAUAUCAGGAGGAACACCGGUGGCGAAGGCGGGUCUCUGGGCCGAUACUGACACUGAGAAGCGAAAGCGUGGGAGCGAACAGG
rnacentral:rRNA from 1 species